rnacentral:rRNA from 1 species
GGAGUUAGCCGGUGCUUCUUCUGUGAGUGAUGUCCUUCCUGCCGGCUAUUAACCCGCAGGCCUUCUUCCUCACUGAAAGUGCUUUACAACCCGAAGGCCUUCUUCACACACGCGGCAUGGCUGGAUCAGGGUUGCCCCCAUUGUCCAAUAUUCCCCACUGCUGCCUCCCGUAGGAGUCUGGGCCGUGUCUCAGUCCCAGUGUGGCUGAUCAUCCUCUCAGACCAGCUACGGAUCGUCGCCUUGGUGAGCCGUUACCUCACCAACCAGCUAAUCCGACAUAGGCUCAUCCGAUAGCGCGAGGCCCGAAGGUCCCCCGCUUUCCCCCGUAGGGCGUAUGCGGUAUUAGCCUGGGUUUCCCCAGGGUUAUCCCCCACUACCGGGCAGAUUCCUAUGCAUUACUCACCCGUCCGCCGCUCGCCACCAGGGAGCAAGCUCCCCGUGCUGCCGCUCGACUUGCAUGUGUUAGGCCUGCCGCCAGCGUUCAAUCUGAACCAGAUCAAAUUCUGA